GGGACUGCGGUGCCCUGCUCGGUGGCAUUCCGUCGCCGGUUGCUCUAUGCCCUGGCCUCGUGUUUACAAAUAAGGGAAACUGGAGCCCCAGAGGUGUCAGUAUCCUCCAGGCAAACAGCCUUGCCCCACAGGGCAGAGAAAGAGAGUUACCUCUGUGACUCCUGGAAUGACCAGACCAAAAUCCUGCUUUGGGAUCUCAGAUCGUCAAAAGAGAGCUUCGAAAUCCCAAAACGGAGCAACGGCCAAGACCUUUGCCAACAGGAAUGUUGCUAAUUAGAUUUUCCUAAGGCACCUGAAGUGCACAGCCACAGCUCCCACCUCCAUCAUCUAUCAAAUCAGCUAAGAUUGGUUUCCUGGUCAGUGAAAGACAGCUCCUCUGGGCCUUAGCACAAGCUCUUUCCUCUCUCAGGAAUGUCUUCUCCCAGGUGCCCACAUGGACAGCUCAUGAAGGAGGCAUCACGUGUUUGUGCUAAUGCCACCCCAGAAAGAAAUCGAAAAUGAAGUUCAGGAAGACUAAAGAAUUUUAUUCAACGUCUCAAGUUUACGUUUCUAAUUCCAAGUCCACCAGCGCUCUGCCAAGAGCUUCACAGCAGCAUCGUUCAAUCAGUCAACUUGUGAGACAGUCACUUGGGUGAAUGAAGAUGAUUUAUCCCUCCUCCUGAAGAGUCUUAGAAUUCCAACUAACCACACAAGCUCUCUUUGAUAGUUGGAGCAUUCUCCUGGGGCACAGAUCAAUCAGUUUAACCCCAGGUAGCCAAAGAUAGCAGGUCAGAGAGCAAGAGUUCCUAGAGCUAUCCUAAGUUCUGGGGUUACCCUAGAAUUUUACCAUCUGCCUCUCUAAUCCUGAGGCUCUGGGGUGCCCUUUGUGUACCACACACUUUCUGAGAUUCCUUUUCACCCAAUCCUGACUCUGCCCAUGAUUGUUCACUUGAACUCCUAUCAUCCUUUUAGACUUAGCCCAGUUAUCCUUGGUCCUUCCCCAUCUGGUAGCACUGUCCCCACAGCAUAGUACCCUGCAUGUGGUUAUCACAUUGCUUGGUGGCCAUCUGCCUGUCUUAUCAACUUGGUUGUAAACUCCUGAGAGCAGAGAGUGUGUCUUGCUCAUCCCAGUGUCUCCAGUGAUGAGCACAGUCCUUUGAAAGUAGUUGCUCAGUAUCUGUUUGUUGAAUUAGUGAGGAAAUAAAGGCCAGUUUACUGUACUACCUGGAACUUUAGGUUCCAUGUACAAUACAAAGCAUCCAUCGCCAGUGCCAAAGGCAGAGAAAUCUUUUCUACCUGUGGCCAGUGCUAUAAAAUCCAUGAGCACUUCUGAAAACUGAAAGAGGCCUGCCAUGACCCAUGUAGUGAUUCACACGUUCCCUACUGAUGCCCCUCAACCUUGCCUUAGAAGGAAGCCUAUUUACCUGUUAGUGUUUAACUCCUAGAAAAUUAAUGACAUACACAUUAAAAUAAAUGCCCUUUCCACCUAUCAAAAUUGCAUUUUUAAAAAUUUUUUUAAAGAUUUUAUUUGUUUAUUCACA